rnacentral:lncRNA from 1 species
UGUGGGCAGGCCCAGGGAGAAGGAGCUGUCCCCAUUCUUGAACCAUUGUCAGGUUGGCCAUUGAGUUGGGCUGAGUUUGGACUUGGCCAGGAUGGAAAGUGAGGAAGAGGAGAAUGGACAAAGAAAAGUGGCCCUGGAUAUUAGAUGGUGGGGCCUGGGGGUUGACAAUUCCUGUCUCCUGGGGUAGCGCAGUGCUGGCCACAAACAGGGCAUCUGGUGAAAGUUUGCUGAUUGACAGAUAGGGCGGGCUCCUGCUCCCUCCACCUAAGCCUUGUGUCUCUGAGAACCCCCUGGAGGAGAGGACACAGCUCUGCACCUCCUGUGGCUGGAGGGCUUUGUACCUGGAAGUCACCUUGGCAGGAAGCCUUUCUGCCUCCCUCCUCAUCCCGCUUCCUGCUAUGAUGCCCACUCAUUCAGCUUUGCUUUUUUCCCAUUUCCUGCUGCCAGGACUGUUCCAUGUUUCACUAGAAGGGAAACAUUAUUGUCCUUUCCACUUCUUACCCCUUCCACCAAUUUUCUUUUUAGGUAAUAAAUUUGUUCCUUAAUGAGCUUCCUCAGGAUCCAGCCAGGCCCCAGUCAAGGCCUGUCUCUGCCUUGGCACCUCAGGCACAGUCCUGGAGAAGCCAGGACCAGACCCCUCCCCAGGGAUCAGCAGCAGCCUCCACCGGGACUCGGAAUGUAUUAGGCCAUUAUCCCACCAAAGAUGGAAGCCCAAGCCCAUGUCCUCUCUUCCCCAGGGUUCAGAACAAGCCCAGCAACACUGUAAGUAGCAACUGCACUAGCAACAAUGCCCUCUGGUUAAAGCCAUGCAGAUAGCACAGGAAAUCGGAAUGGCAGGGGCUUUCAAGAUCAAAGUCAGUUGGAUCUUUUUUAGGGGAAGGGCGGAUCGGGUUUUGAAAGGAUUCAGAGAUGGAGGAAUUAAUCCUGCCGUUAUUUUGCAGACACCAGUUCUUUCACGGUGGGCCAGUGGCACCGUAUAAUCCAAGAUGAGGCUGCUGCCCUGAAUGCAGAGAAAGCCUCGUUUCCUUGCGUUAAACCCCACAUGGGAUGCUGUCCCUCUCCCACAGGGAUGGGGCAGGCUUGGUGGGAUAGCACUUGGAAAGAGCGCAUCUCAUGCCCGCCACGUGGCAAAUGGUCAGUGACCCCCUAACAGUGAUGCUGUGACCAGUAGCUUCCUACCCAAGGGGAGGCCAGAGCCUGAUGUCCCCUCUUGCCCGUGGAACAACUCGAGGCCAAGUUCUGAUCCUGAUAUCACUGUUUGGGGACAAAAGUCAACUAUUCACUCCACUGGAAGAUGUGGUUCACUCCACAGUCUCUGGGAUACGUCAGACCAGCAUAAGAUGCCGUUGAGGAACAAGCCAACAUAGCAAGGCUGCAACUACCACAGAGAUAGCAAGGAGACAGGUCAUAUGGGAAGAGGAUGGCCUUGGUGGGAGGUAGAUCUGAGUUCCAACUCUGGCUCUGCCACUUAAAGCUGUGCCACCUUGUGCAAAUCUCUUCACUUCUCUGAGUCAAUUUGUCAUCAUCAUUGUCAUUGUCAUCAUUGUCAUCGAUACCAUUCACUGAGUGUGCACUGUAUGCCAAGCAGCCAUCUCUCAUUUGAUUCUCAUAGCAACUGUAUGAAUAGAUAUCAUUACUCCUAUUUUAAGCACAAAGAAAGGAGGUUCAGGGAGAUUAUUAAACUUGCCCAAGACCAACAAGUAAGUAGUUAAGACAGGUUUUCAGCCUGACUCUCGCUGAUUCCAAAGCCUAUGUAUGUGGUGGGUUGCAUGGUGGUCCCCAAAAAGAUAUGUCCCUUUCCUAAGCCCCAGAACCUGUGAAUACGAUCUUAUUUAGAAAAACGAUCUUUAGGCCUGACACAGUGGCUCAGACCUAUAAUCCCAGCACUUUGGGAGGCCGAAGUGAGCAGACUGCUUGAGCUCAGGAGUUCAAGACCAGCCUGGCCAACAUGCUGAGACCCCAUCUCUAAAUAGCCUGGAGUGGUGGCAUACACCUGUGGCCCCAGCUUCUCAAGAGGCUGAGGUGAGAGGAUCUCUUGAGCCUGGGAGAUGGAGGUUGCAGUGGGCCGAGAUUGCACCACUGGACUCUAGCCUGGGCAACAGAGCGAGACCCUGUCUCAAAUAAAAAAGAAAAAGAGUCUUUGCAGAUGUAAUUAAGUCAUGGAUCUUGAGAUGACGUCAUCUAGGAAUAUCCAGAUGGGCCCUAAAUCUAAAGACAAGUGUCCUUAGACAGAAGAAAAAAAAGACACAGAGAAGAGACGGUUAUGUGAAGACAGAGGUAAGAUUAGAGGUCUGCAGUCAUGAGCCAAAGACCUCCUGAAGCCACCAGAUGCUGGAAGAGUCAAGGAAGGAUUCUUCCCU